AGCAGAGGCAGCAGAGGCAGACUGCCACGCACGCAUAAAAUAUGUGUUUUGUAUGCAUAAUUGAUUCUGGUUUUUGCAAAUUUCAUACCCUUUCAGAGGUGCUUGUCGAACGCCUUGUCAGCAUUAUCAGAACCGCGACUCCGCUGUGGAUUUACCCAGCCCCCAGGUCUCGUCGCCUUCGCGUGCUGUACUCGAACAUACAUUUUCAGUUUCUGGUUCUCUUUUUUGGCCCGUCUGUGACUAAUGCGAAAAGUACGAGUAUCUAAACACCCAAAGGCUGUCUGGACAGUGCGGAAAAGCCCCGCAAAAGGCGUUAAUUUUGUAUGAUUUUUCAACAUGAAACAAAGAAAAAAAAUAAACAACUUAAUUUGCCACUAA